rnacentral:rRNA from 1 species
CAGUCGCCACGGUAAUACGGAGGGUGCAAGCGUUAAUCGGAAUUACUGGGCGUAAAGGGAGCGUAGGCGGACAUUUAAGUCAGGGGUGAAAUCCCAGAGCUCAACUCUGGAACUGCCUUUGAUACUGGGUGUCUUGAGUGUGAUAGAGGUAUGUGGAACUCCGAGUGUAGAGGUGAAAUUCGUAGAUAUUCGGAAGAACACCAGUGGCGAAGGCGACAUACUGGAUCAUUACUGACGCUGAGGCUCGAAAGCGUGGGGAGCAAACAGGAUUAGAUACCCCCGUAGUCCCUGUCUCUUAUAC